rnacentral:rRNA from 1 species
UGGGGGAUAUUGCACAAUGGGCGAAAGCCUGAUGCAGCGACGCCGCGUGGGGGAUGAAGGCCUUCGGGUUGUAAACUUCUUUUGCUCUGAACAAGGCGCACCAUGGGGUGUGUUGAGUGUAGGGGUUGAUUAGCGCCGGCUAACUACGUGCCAGCAGCCGCGGUAAUACGUAGGGCGCGAGCGUUGUCCGGAAUUAUUGGGCGUAAAGGGCUUGUAGGUGGCUGGUUGCGUCUGUCGUGAAAGCUCAUGGCUUAACUGUGGGUUUGCGGUGGGUACGGGCUGGCUUGAGUGCAGUAGGGGAGGCUGGAAUUCCUGGUGUAGCGGUGGAAUGCGCAGAUAUCAGGAGGAAUACCGGUGCCGAAGUCGGGUCUCUGGGCUGUUACUGACACUGAGGAGCGAAAGCAUGGGGAGCGAACAGG